rnacentral:rRNA from 1 species
UACGAAGGGGGCUAGCGUUGCUCGGAAUUACUGGGCGUAAAGCGCACGUAGGCGGCUUUCUAAGUCGGGGGUGAAAUCCUGGAGCUCAACUCCAGAACUGCCUUCGAUGCUGGAAAGCUCGAGUCCGGGAGAGGUGAGUGGAACUGCGAGUGUAGAGGUGAAAUUCGUAGAUAUUCGCAAGAACACCAGUGGCGAAGGCGGCUCACUGGCCCGGUACUGACGCUGAGGUGCGAAAGCGUGGGGAGCAAACAGG